rnacentral:rRNA from 1 species
UCGGGAAUUUUGGGCAAUGGGCGAAAGCCUGACCCAGCAACGCCGCGUGAGGGAUGAAGUAUUUCGGUAUGUAAACCUCGAAAGAAUGGGAAGAAUAAAUGACGGUACCAUUUAUAAGCUCCGGCUAACUACGUGCCAGCAGCCGCGGUAAUACGUAGGGAGCAAGCGUUGUUCGGAUUUACUGGGCGUAAAGGGCGCGUAGGCGGCGCGGUAAGUCACUUGUGAAAUCUCUGAGCUUAACUCAGAACGGCCAAGUGAUACUGCUGUGCUAGAGUGCGGAAGAGGCAACCGGAAUUCUUGGUGUAGCGGUUAAAUGCGUAGAUAUCAAGAGGAACACCUGAGGCGAAGGCGGGUUGCUGGGCCGACACUGACGCUGAUGCGCGAAAGCCAGGGGAGCAAACG